rnacentral:lncRNA from 1 species
AACAAAUAAAGGAGGAGCAGUCGGUCCAAUUGGAAGCCAAACAUGCGACAAACUUAAAAAGGGAAUUAUUAUUUCCUUCUUACCAAGCGGUGGCCGAUUUUAGUUCAAUCAAUUGGAAGCCAAAUCAGCUUUGAAGAGUUAAAUUAAAACUCUUCUAAGCUGAAGCUAUUUUCAUGCGACGGGUGAGGCUAAGAAAAAGGGGAUAAGAUCAGAAUUAAUUUUGAAUUGUGGGAGGUUAUUAUCCCAUAAAUAGAGAUGACAGCAGCUGAAAAAUGAGAGGAGAAACAGAGGAAAAUAUUCAGCAGCAUAGGAAAGGCAUGGUUCAAGUGAGCAGAAUUUCCUAAAAUUGGCCCAGCAAAUCCGACCAAGGAGCUAGAGUAGCAGCUAGUAAAUUCGGCUAGUUGGGAGAAGGGAAAUCGGACGACUCGAAGAACUUUGCCUUCCAAGAAUCAGCUUGUAAUUCAUGUUCUUUUCAAUGGAUUCAUGUUCUACUUUGCUAGCUAUGAGAGGCUAGUUUAGUUAAGCUUAGUUCGACACUUCUGAAACCAGGCACAAGUACUUUGAAAAUUUUAUUUUGUUAUCAAAUCAAAUUCGGCACUCUUGAGUUGUUUGAUUUUAUUUUCAAAGGAAUUUUUCUAACUCAAUUGGAGUGAUCACCUAAUUAAUUUGGGAAUUUUUCCUAUAAUCAUUUAAGUGUAAGUUGGGAAAUCGAAUUUCUCAAUUGAACUUAGAAUCAGUGUUAAAUAAUUGGCCGCAGCUAAUUAGGACAACUUCGGAUUUAAUCUUAGAAGCCGCUGGUGGAUUUUCUUUGGUUAAGGCAAGGCGAAGUCUCUAAAUCUCUUAAAUUCCUUCAACAAAGUUGACACAAAGGUAAUUAAAGGAGGGUUUCAAUCAUGAACGUUCUCUAAUUGAAUGAUUUACUAGGGAUAAAAAAAUGCUUCGUAAGCGAUUUUUUUCAGCCUUGCUGCUAAUUUGAUUUCUUAGCUUAAUUUCAGGUUGCAAAGGACUUGUGCUUGGUGGAUGAAGACGUCGCCAACUAAGCAUUUUUUUUUCCUUUUGAAAUUUCCUCUUCAGCCGUUUUAAUUCGAGCCAAAGUUUAUUUAUUACUUGAGACUAUUUUUUUUAGCAAUCAUAAAACAUAAACCCCCCCAUUUUUUUUCCCUUUGUUUUCUUUUCUUUCGCAUGCCUUUUAUAUUACUUUAAUUUUAAAUCACUUCAAAUAGAUUUGUUGCAAGCUUCCUCGUGGGACGAUUCCCUAUUUACCCUAUGUUACUAGUGAAUGUUGGUUGAGUAAGUGAAUUUAAUUUGGCAGACGUAAACGACAGCUACCAAUAUGACUAAAUUUUAUAUGAGCUUACUAAACAUUCAUUGCUUAUGUGAUUUUUUUUCCUUUACUUUUCAGAUUAUCAGAAGCUCAGUCGGGUUGGAAGCUAGUCGGAGAUCCAUCACCCUAUCCAUCAAUUUUAUCAGUAGAUUUUAAUGCUUUGGUCAUGGUUAUAAUGGCAUGUAUAGGUGGACUAUGUCUAAUGUUUAAUUAAUGAGUUUGGUAUAUAUAUGUCAUAUUGGUUGAUGAUUAUGGCAUGUAAUGUUGCUUUGGAUUUGAGGUACUUAAGGUAUUAUUGAUAUCUUGUUGGUUGUGGUUAAUAUGGUCAAAUUGGUGUAUGUUUUGAAAUGACCAAAAUUGGUAUGUGUUAAUGUAUCUUUAAAUGGCUAAAAUGGUAUGGUUGUUAUGUAUCAAUUAUGUUAUGUUUUGGCAUGAAAACAAGUUAGGUGAUAA